GUGCCAGCCGCCGCGGUAAUACGGAGGGGGUUAGCGUUGUUCGGAAUUACUGGGCGUAAAGCGCACGUAGGCGGAUUGGAAAGUAUGGGGUGAAAUCCCAGGGCUCAACCCUGGAACUGCCUUGUAAACUCCCAGUCUAGAGUUCGAGAGAGGUGAGUGGAAUUCCAAGUGUAGAGGUGAAAUUCGUAGAUAUUUGGAGGAACACCAGUGGCGAAGGCGGCUCACUGGCUCGAUACUGACGCUGAGGUGCGAAAGUGUGGGGAGCAAACAGGAUUAGAUACCCCGGUAGUCC
rnacentral:rRNA from 1 species